rnacentral:rRNA from 1 species
AUUGAACGCUGGCGGCAGGCCUAACACAUGCAAGUCGAACGAGUGGCGGACGGGUGAGUAAUGUCUGGGAAACUGCCCGAUGGAGGGGGAUACCUACUGGAAACGGUAGCUAAUACCGCAUACCAUCGGAUCUGCCCAGAUGGGAUUAGCUAGUAGGUGGGGUAACGGCUUACCUAGGCGACCAUCCCUAGCUGGUCCGAGCGGAUGGCCAGCCACACUGGAACUGAGACACGGUCCAGAGUCCUACGGGAGGCAGCAGUGGGGAAUAUUGGACAAUGGGCGCAAGCCUGAUGCAGCCAGGCGGCGUGUAUGAAGAAGGCCUUCGGGUUGUAAAGUACUUUCAGCGGGGAGACGUUACUCGCAGAAGAAGCACCGGCUAACUCCGUGCCAGCAGCCGCGGUAAUAC